CCUACGGGCGGCUGCAGUCGAGAAUCUUCGGCAAUGAGCGCAAGCUUGACCGAGCGACGCCGCGUGCGGGAUGAAGGCCUUCGGGUUGUAAACCGCUUUGGUCCGAAAGAAAGGGUAAAACUUGAUCGAUCGGAGAAACAAGGACGGGCUAAGUUCGUGCCAGCAGCCGCGGUAAGACGAACCGUCCAAACGUUAUUCGGAAUCACUGGGCUUAAAGGGCGCGUAGGCGGCCGAGCGGGUCACGGGUGAAAUCCUCCAGCUUAACUGGAGAACUGCCCUUGAUACCACUGCGGCUCGAGGAAGGAAGGGGUCAUGGGAACUGUCGGUGGAGCGGUGAAAUGCGUUGAUAUCGACAGGAACGCCGGUGGCGAAAGCGCAUGACUGGUCCUUUUCUGACGCUGAGGCGCGAAAGCCAGGGGAGCAAACGGGAUUAGAUACCCUGGUAGUC
rnacentral:rRNA from 1 species